rnacentral:tRNA from 1 species
UGGGAGGUAGUGUAACGGUAACACGCCAGAUUCUGGCUCUGGUUAUCGGGGUUCGAAUCCCUGCCUCCCAGCCA